AACGUAGGUGGCGAGCGUUAUCCGGAUUUACUGGGCGUAAAGCGUGUGCAGGUGGCCUGUUAAGUGGUGUAUGAAAUCGCCCGGCUCAACCGGGCGGGGUUAUGCCAGACUGGCAGGCUAGAGGGUGGGAGAGGGAUGUGGAAUUCCGGGUGUAGUGGUGAAAUGCGUAGAGAUCCGGAGGAACCCCAGAGGCGAAGGCGGCGUCCUGGACCAACACUGACACUGAUGAGCGAAAGCCAGGGGAGCAAACGGG
rnacentral:rRNA from 1 species